UUUUGAGAGCUUUAACAUUUCCAUUUUCCCCUUGUCUUUGUGACUGUCUCUCUCUUUCUCUAGCUCCCACUGUCACUCUCUUCCUCUGUCCCAUUAUAUCUCUUCCUCCCCUUAUUAUCUCUCUAUUUCUGUGUUUCUCUGUCUCACUUUCUGUCUCUUCCUGUCUUUCUGUGUCUUUCUAUAUGUCUGUCUCGUCGUUCUCUGUCUGUCUCUCUCAUGCACACACAGUCUCUCUCCCUCUCUGCAUCUUUAUGGUUCUGAGUGGCCUGAAACUGGCUAUGUAGACACACUGAACUCAAACUCAGAGAGAUCUACCUACCUCAGCCUCCUGAGUGCUUGGAACACCACUAUAUCUGGAUUCUCAAUUGACAUGUUGAAAAAACCUUAUAUUUUGGCCACUUCCCAGCCUAAGAACUGGGCUCCCU
rnacentral:lncRNA from 1 species